UUUUUUUUUUUUUUUUUUUGUAUACAUUGUCUGAUAUUGAAAAAAGAGAACAACGAAGAAGACGAACUAAAAAAAAAAAAAAGCAAAAAAAAAGAUGAUGAACUCUUGUUUUAUGACAUUAAAGUGUAGUUCAUUCUUGAUGAUAGGCUUAACUUCACGCUAACAGCAGAAUAGGAUUAACCCUCUUUUCCCCCGUCCACUUCCCCACUUCUACAGUAGUAACUCAUAGCAUAUAAAUGUUUCUUCUACCAACUUCCCCAUUUCUCACGUAUUGGUGUGUGCGUGGUACAUUAUCAUUGAGCAAGUUUUUUCCUGUUGGAAAGGUGUAGAUGCUUUCCUCUUUAAUUUGAUGCCCAGCACUGUUUGGAUAAAAAUAAAAAUGUUUAGGCUGCAAAAAUAUCUGCCUUGACAUCCAUCCGUUGGCAAACUUGGCCUAAUUGUAGGACACAAAUACUUUGUCAGUAAGCAUAUUAUCAAGAAGCAUUAAAGAAAACGCAUUGUUAAUAUGUGCAUUUGACUUUAAGCGGCGCAAAUGAUGUAAAAUAGAGAGAGAUACACACACAAAAUCUUCUGAAGACGUCUCCAAAUCCCCUAUCUAUGCAUGUUUGAGACGGAUCCCAGAUUGAUCGUUCAUUUCUUGUCUCUUUUUGAGGUGACCUCUGACCAUUACUGUUGCUCGUGGAAGGCAUUUUCACAGUGAUAAAUUAUUGCAGGUAUUAACAUCAAAUUAUACAAAUCAGACUAGGGCAAGUCGGUUAUCAAGUUGAUUAACUUUUUUGCUUUUUUGGAAGCUGCAGGUCCAAAAAGUGGUCAUGAAAAAUGGCCACUUUGAUUUAAUUAAGCUGGUAGUGCAAAAGUAAAACAAGAGGAUGCCGCGGUGCUUUAGAUUUAUGGAUUGUUGGUUACGAAAGUGGAGACCCUAUUAGACGUUUGCUAAUACCAUUAAUUAGUAAUUUGGACAAAGGCAGUCAGGUUGAUAAACAUCACCAAUUUAUGGGUAGUUUGAAGUCAAGAAAUAUCAAAUAUUUAGGACUUGUUUCAUAUUCCAAUUUAACACUUAAAUUUAAUGAAUUUAUAAAGUUCAGAUUUUAGAUUUCAAAUUUCAGUUUCAUCAAAUCAAUCGCAUCCCUAAUCAUAUCUGUCAAGGUAGUAGCAGGUCUAUUUUGAAGUUUGAGCUGUAAAGAAAAAUAUUUCUUUGUUGGGGCCGAACUCAAACAACAAGAAAGAGAGAUGUCUUUCAAAUAAGUGAAAGGUGAAACCAAAAACUUACCAAAGAUUUGAGAUAAGAUUUUGGGGCGUAAUCAGUUUGCAUAUCUAUAUCACCAACACAGUUCAAUCUUCGUAGUACGUCAUUCCAUCCACAUUAAAGCCAGAGAUUAGGGAAACAGGCUCUCAAUAUUUUAGGUUGAAAAGGAAGGAUGCCAAACAGAGGAAGCAGGUAUGACUUUACCUUUUUUUUUUUUUUGGCCAUCACUGUGGGUAUCCGGGUCUACACCCGACUAAUUCCACAGCGCUCCAGUAGAGCGGGUCCGACCGAUGCUAAAGAAGAUAACAACUGGAUUGCUGCCCGGAAUCGAACCCAGGUGAAACUCACCUAAGAAUGCUACUUUCACCAGCAGACCAAUCCAGCGCGGGCAGGUAUGACUUUACCAAGAACCCCAAAUUAUUACUUAUUAGUAGUAGUACGCCAUUAGGGAAUCUAGCUAGUGAUGAGUACCAAGUUGAAAACUCAGUCACCCCUCUGAUUGGAAAUCUGUCCAAAUUGUAAAAUUCCUCCGACAGGCCUUGACCAAUAUGGGUCGUCAAAAUUCCAUUUUGGAGAAUUUUUUUCUUAAUAGCCUUUAAAGUUUAAAAAGGAGGUUUCGUUAGAUAAACCUUGGAUUUUGCUAGAAGCUAAUGCCUUUCUUCACCAAGGCUUUGAAUGAGGUUGCGUUUCAAGCUUGUUUUUGUAUGGUUUGUUUCAGAUACUGAUGCCUGUGCCUUUUUUGUAAUAAAUUGAUUAAUUCGAGCUGUAUACUACAUUCUUCUCUGAUUCUGAUGCCUUAAUCGUUCUACAUCAUCCUGUUACUAGGGAAAACGACUAUGGUAUAAUGCGGUCUUAGUUUUGGCCAAAAUUCAUUGAUAGCUGAAGCAACACGAGGAACCUCGACAUUCCCUGACAUGAAAAGGUAAUAAUUAGAUUACAGUUUUGUGCCGUAACGUUAAUUGCAACCACCUUUUGUUGCCCUCCUUUUUUUUUUUUUUUUAAUUUAUUUAUUCGAUAGAACUUUAUGUUACCCUGUGGCUGAUGUGAUGCUUAAGGAGCACAUCGGGCUAGCUGAGGGCAAGCGGGCUGGUCAAACAUUCGCUCCUCCACAUUUCACUCUACAUUCGGAAGUCGGAACUUUCUUUAACCAGGGAAAAUUGCAUCUUGAACUAUUUUUCCAGCGCAAAUGCGGAACGCCAAAAGUUGGGCUGAACUCGAUUCGUUUACGGCUCUAUUUGGAGAAAGUAACUUUAGGUCUUGGUUAUAUGUUUCGGUGACAACUUAAUGAAAAUUGAUGGAAAACAAAUUUCGAGAUCCAAUUCCAUGCAUUAUUUUUUCUCCAUUUUUAUCUGAAGUAUGCCACUAACUUGCUCAAUAAAUCACUCUAUUUUCUUGUCAUCUCAAUCAUUGGGAUAACAUACAAUCGCAUCUCUCAUUCCUUUUUCGUAACUUGGACCCGAUUCUUGAAAUCCUCGAGUGAUAUGCCCAAAAAACUGGCAAACCAAACUAUGAAACAAUUUGGAAUGGUGUUCACCAAGUGAGAUUUAUUUAGACACCCUGGUAAUGUUCAUUAGCGAGUACCAAUUUUUGAGUAGCUCAAAAUGGGAGCGGUCUGAAAAAGGAUCUUAGAGUUGCGAGAAGCAUGAAACCUGUUCUUAAUGGAGGCAAAGCCAUGUUAGACGUCGCACCAAUCUUUCUUUACGCAAUCGUUCGUUAAUCACUCCUUUUAAGCAAGAAAUCAUGGAUCCCGUUUAGUUUUGUUUUUUGGAGGGGUUGAGGGCGGCGAGAAUCUUAUUCCUCCACUUUAAAGCCAGCUACCCAUCUAAAGCAAUGUCUUGGAUUCACUCUUUCCUUUGCUCCAAGUAUAAAUUUCUUUUUGAUUUGACAUUCUCCACGUUUCGCCACUGCUUUUAUUUGCCACAAGAAUUUAUUUGCGCUUUUAACAUCACAAUUAGCGUUGAUUUGCCACAAACAUAUUCCACUUAGAAAAAGUUCAAUUGCGCCGCGCCCUUUCCUAAAAUUAGAUACUCGUGUGGUUCAACACAUGAUAGAUAAAGGACUCCAUCGACAUUGGAUUCGUGUAAAGAGUUUAUUAUACGAUUAAGGAGAGAGACCCUCGUACAGAAGGCCACCAUGCAGAGUUAUCUCUUUUUCAAAUUUUGUUUUAAGGAGAGGGUGUCAAGUUUGUAUAAAUACAAUUAUCAUACUGGUUCUUGACAGUGUAAUUAAAUGAGCAGGUUUAACCUACAAAAUAGAUUUUGACUUAUGGUCAUCAUAUCAUCUGUUGAAAUUAUAUGGCGAACGGAGAACCAAGCUAAAAAUAUAUGAUGAUUGAUCCACGAUGAAUUAUUUGGGGAGUUGAAAUUAUGUGGAAGUAGCUAAUACUGCAUGCUUUGUGUCACAGAUUUGUGACACAAAGUGCAUAUAUUUGAUCAGGUACUGUAAUAUGCAAAGGCUCUUCGUUGGGGGGAAAAAAAAAACGACUGAGAAACAGUUCAAAAUGAAGGGAAGAAAACUGAAGUCUACGGGGGGCGCUUUAUGCUAGCAACUGUUGAUAAUAAUCACAUAAUGGAGCAGGCAUUGGGGUUGUCAUCACUGAAAAGGUAGGUGAUUCUCUCUUCAGUUGCGUUUGGGGGAGGAGCAGCUUGUACCACAUUCCUCACAAAUCCCGCAGGUGCUCUCUUGUCGUAGGCUCCAGUUACAUAUGGGUAAAACACCAGGUUAUGAGGGACAUAUGGCCAGAACUCUGCUCUUUUUCCAGUGUCUUUUAUUCUCUUUAAUACUUUAUUUGGAUCAACGUAGCCACUCACCUUUACUCGGCUUUGCUUUCGAUCUACUUCCAGUGUUUUCAGACCUAAAAAAUCAUCUGAAAUUAGUUGGUAUAUAUAUCAAACAAGUACAAGCUUACGAAGUAAAGUAUGUUUUCGGCUUGACGAAAAAAAUAUACAAACAUGUUUUCGGUUGAAAAGCUUUUUAGGAGUAUGUGUUAUGUAACAAGAAAAUUAUAAUCUUUAGUGGAGGUGUAAUUAAUGAAAACAUUGAUCAACUUGCUAAAAAGGUCAGUCUAUAUAUUGGUCCACAUUUUCAUAUUAAAAAAAAAGGGUUCUCCUCCACCAUUAAUACGGGAUGCACUAGAUCCACUUUAUGGUAUAAAGGGCAGAUGAAAGGCAUAAAUAAGUGGCAAUGGAUUGAGCAUAAAAAAGUGGUUGGAUUGCAUUCUAUCCAUACAUAGUUAUCCAGAUCGAUCUUCGCCCUCAUCUUCUUCUUAUGAAAAGAGCCCAGCAUAUUUGAGCAUUUUCUAAUAACGAAAGGUUUUUGCAGGGUUUUUACUUGAUACACUCAAUCUGACUGGCUUGCAAGAAAACAUGCGAAACGCAUCCUGAUGAAAGUUUCGAUCGCCUUGUAUUACACUCGAAAGAGUGAUCCAAGAGAUCCGUCAAUACUUUAUAGGAAAUCAAAUAGGACUAGCAGUCAUUCCACAAAAAGGAAACAGAGAAAAUAGAUGUUGGUUGCAUGUGUGAAUCUGAAACUGACAAUGUACCAAAAAAGUUGAAAAGAAAAUCAACCAGAAAAAGUAAAAAGGAAGAAAAAGAAUAAAGCACCCCAGCAAACUAAUGACAUCUCUUAAAUGACAAGAAGUAUACACUAUUCAUUGAUCUUCAAAUGCAUUAAUUGAAGAUAAGAGAGAGGAAGUUUUCGUAUUGGUUUCUUCUGACUGAGGUUUUGACUUACAUCAAUGCGAUGCAUCAUAGUAACUCAGAAGCAGCAGAAGCUAAACAUGUUUUCCUUGGACACACAGAAAUAAAUUUUUUUUUUAAAAAAAAGAGUGCAAUGCAAGUAGUUUUACCUUUCAUGUCUUUUACAGCAUUCUUCACCCUUCUUUCGCAUCCAUCACAGUCCAUCUUAACCUUAAUCUCAACGGUCUGGUUAAGUAAAAAUGACAAAAGCAAACAUCCCUCAUCAUUCAGUCCAUUAAGUGAAACAGAAGAGCACCAAAACAACAGACGUAAAUCUUAAAACCCUGAGAAGCGAUUAAGAAGUUAACUAUGCGCUCGACGCGCAGGUGCUCCCUAGAAAAUUAAGCAGUUACCUGCAUUGGUUUCCUCUUGCUUCUUCUUGUGCUGGUGACAGUACAAAAGUUUGAGAGGUAGUCGAGAGCCCCCAUUUAAUUGUUCUCCUCUGGAUAUGGAAGAAAGCAAAGCUACCACAGAGAGAAUCGAGAAGAAAUGGUCAGAUAUAUGAGUGGGCUGGUCUGCGAGUCUUUGGUACCUAUUUGCAAGAGGUGGUAUUUAUACAAGAAGCUCCUAGCUAAGAGCUUUUGGGCUUUAGGCGAAAGGAAAUGAUAUAUUCUUUUCAAACUCUCAACUCUGACACUUUCGGGUGCGGAGAGCCUUUUUGAAACUUUUAUUUACCUAAUUUUGUAUUUAUUUAUUUUUGCAAAUUUGCCACUAGAGAUGUAAAAUUACUUCUUAACUAUGUAGUAUUAUGUACUUCUUCUAUUUUUUGCGAACGCUCGAGAACAAGCAGAUACAUCUAAUGCCUCUUGAGAUCAUGAAGAAUAUAUCUUAGGCGAGAAAUUCAUGUGAAAAAUUACUUAGACUGCACCUCAGGCCUGAAAAUCUUCCACCGAUUAAGGCCUUGGAAUUUGUUUAUGAGAGAGCAGACGAAGGAGGAGUACGGUUUAUUUGAGUCCCACAAAAAAAAAAACAGAUAGAGUGUUAAGUAGCAGUAGAGUAUAUUUUAGAAAAAGCAAAUGGCAACAAGUGCCCGGGAAUGAUGAGUGGGCAAGAAUGCUUUUGGGUUUUGCUCAUUUGUUUAUGUUGAUGUGUUAGCGAGAAAAUGGGGUGUAAAGUGCGUUUGUGUUUGCUUUCAUUUUCGUUCUAUGGGUGUGAGUGACUUUGCUUUUUCCCACUAUUUAUUUAUAUGAGUGAAGAAAGACCACCCGAUGAUUGCUUAGUCCCAAGAUUUUUGUUUGUGAGCAAUAUUAACGAUCAUUUCAGUUUCACCUUCCUAAUGUUAGAGACUGUGUGAAUCACCUCUCUUCUCUUUCGAAUUUGCGGCUUAAUGGAGUUACAAAAAGAUGUGUGUUAUCACUCACAGAUGACUUCAUUGCCUAAUCAGAUGAAGCCUUCUUCAAUUGAUAUAAGCAGCAGCACUCUUCCAAUCAGAAGUGAGCGGAAUGUGAAAUUCCCCACUAACUAACUGCAAGAAAAAUUUCAGCUUUCCGAUCAUCUCAUCAUUACAAAGUACGGAAUUGAAGGGCGGGCGUUUUUACGUUUAGGAUACAAAAUUAUCAGUAACAAAUUAAGGGUAAAGCGUAGCUAGCCUAAUGCUAAAAAAUUAUCGUUUGUUUAAAGUACACCCAAGGACAACUUUUACCAGCCGUCCGUUCAGCCACAAUCAUGGUGAUGCGGGCGGGGGCCAUUGCAAGAAAAAGAACGAUCAUUUGUGUCCGAUCAGCUAGCCUUCAUCAAUCCCAUCAAGAUCAAUAGUUUUUUAUGGUGUGCUUGCACCCCAAACCAAAACAACACCCUUUUGUAGGUUGUACAGGGCCAACCCCGCAAUAGGCACUGCUGGGGAAGGCACAGCACAACUCAUCAAUUCGGAAGAAGUGCUUGUUUCCUCCUCUUCUCACCUUGUUUACAUGCAAAAUUAAAGGAUUCGAGGGACCAGACAGAACGAGAGAGGAAGCAGAAUGCGACAUAAACAACAAAAUUCAAAUGACAUUAUUCUUACUCCCCUUUUAGGACAAAGAGGAGCCUAAAGGGGUUCUUCUGAGUACCCCAUGAGAUGAGAGUCAGUCCUCGAAGAAAUUCCAUUUUAUGAUUUUAUCUCAAGGAUAAACUACAAGUAGAGCCCUACUCGGGGACUUUUAGAUCCAUUUUUCGUAGCCCAGAAGAACAACCAAUCUGAAAGGUGAAUGUUAAGAAAUGGGAAGAAAACGAACUCUUCUUCAAUCUUUCCCUCCAUUGGUGCAGCAGGUCCAGUCCUUCAUAUCACAAUACGGUAAUCUUUUUUAGAAGGGGCUGUACCUGACCAAUGCACAAAACCAAAACAUAUUGAUGCUCUGUUCUCGGUGCAAAACAAUAAUACAAGAAUAUGAUCCCUUUGGUACAAGAACACCAGAAUCCUCCGUUCCACAUGUAUUAAGAAAAAUUAAAGACAUUAAAACUAACCAUAUUUUCAUUUUUGAGAGGAAGGAUGAUAGAACUCAAUGUGUUUCCUUGUCUACUUCACAACUUACAUGGACUGCUGCUCAGCAACUGUAGUCAUAUCCGCUUCAAUUUCUGACCUCUCAAUCCAUUCCAAAAUGCUGACGCAUUUACCACCUUUGUACCUGGAAGUUGCACUUCUAGCACCUGCAAUGAUACAAGAUGCUAAUCACUGUGAUGGCUGCAAGAAGUAGACCAAAUUAACGACAAUUCCCACCUCCAGUGCCGUCUGUCUGCCACAUGGGAAUAUCAGUGAACCUUUGUUGAAAACCACAUCAUCAGCAUCCCCACUCUGAGCUUUGGCACCAUUAUAAACUCUUGUUGUGAUAAUCUUAAGCUCGGUAGUAUUAGACUGACCGUUUUGGGGAUCCACAAUCAUGACUUUAGCUCUGGUACCAGGCCAACCUGCAAAUGCACGAACCUAGAAGACUAUGUGUCAUGAUUAUACAGUAGGUGCAACAUGAGGAUCAAACCAAUACCUUGUUAUGAAGGGUUAUAGCUUCUUGAUCAAAGGAUAGCCAUGACUCCUUGGGUGUUAUCUGUAUCGAGCAAUCAAAGUAACCCAAUAUUCAUAUGUAGGUAAGAUGUGUCCCAAGAAUCGACCAGAAGAAAAACAAGUAUAUAAUCUCAAAUGCAAAUUUAAUCAACAGGCUACUCAUACAAAAAUUUAAGCAGCGUAAUCCUCAUUAACAAAUGAAGGGGAUAAAAAUUGCAGGAUAUGACCUGCACCAUUUUUAGACAAGAUCAUAAGAAAAUUUUGUUGCGAGUUUUGGAUCAAAUUCAAUCCAAAAAUCUAAUAAUCAAGUAGCAGCAUCAAAUUGGACUUUAUUGAAAUUCAUUUUGUUCAUCAGUUGGCAAAGAGAGAAAUCAGGUCAGUUACUCCAAGAUGAGAGAGAAUAGAUGAAUAUCAAGAUCGAUGUCUCUAAAGAAAUCAAUUCAACAACUACUUUCCUUGACUUCUUUGAAUGGCUGCAAGUAUCAGACGCACAUCUUACAGGUAUCAACUCCAAAAAAAUUUGUAAAUAAUCUGAUAUUCUUGUGAUUAUUCCUCAGUUACUUCAUACUUAUUUCAACUAAGGGAUGUUAAACAAACUUCACCUUUGGAGCCAGAGUUGCUUUAGAUUCAUCCUGCUCUUCUGCUUUUCUUUUAGCUGAUCCAUCAAAAAUAGAGGGAAGCUCACGGAGCAGAAGUUCAGAUCCUGAAUGUUCCAAGAACUAAUGAGUCACCAAUACCUUUUACAGUAGGCUAGAAAAAUAAAAGCCCCAUUUCUCUAAAAGAACAAAAGCCAAUUUCUCUAAGCAUUCCACUCACUGCUAAACUAACAGAGUCCAGAUUGCACUAAAGUCCUGAGAAAUAUUAAUUGAUAUGCCAAAGAUCUCAAAGUGGCAUAAAUCUAUUAAGUAUUAUAUCAGAUGAAUACUUAAAAUAUUAAUGCAAAGCAGUAGUAGGAGAAGGAAUGCACAACACCUACCUUGUGCAAAUAAUAACUCAAGUAGCUCUGGUGCCUGCAAACGAAUCAGUACAAAGUUAGCUGACUUUAAGAAAGCAGUAUAUGCUAGCCUUAUAGAAUUACUUCAAUUCAGAUAUAACAUACACUCAAGAUCUUUUUCAGUCGUGGACGACACAUUAAUGAUUUUCAGUGGUUUGGGAAAGAAUAUAGAUUCAUAAGACACUAGAAUGAGGAGCUUAUAUGACAUAAAUCGAAGGAAGAAGAAAGACUUCAGUACCUUUAUUUGAUCAUCUACAUCUAUUCUUUGACAAGAAAUAACAGGUCCAGCAUCCAGUUGACGUACAGUAAAUGCUAGUGACACUCCUGUUUCCUUUACGCCAUCCUGUUACAAAAUUCAUUUCAUGAUUAAUAAAUGUCUAAAUAUUAAACAAGUCAGAGUCAAAGUCUAAGUCUAAGAAACUUAACCUCCAAUGCUCGCUGAACAGGGGCUGCACCACGGUAGAGAGGCAGCAAGCUUGGGUGAAUGUUUACGGUCCCUACAAGAAUGCAUUUGAAUAAGAAAAAGCUUAAAUCAAAUUCCCCAAUUUACAGAUUUGAUGCAAUAAAUGAACUGGAAAAAUUUUUUGUGCCAAACUAUCGUGGGACAGCACUAAAACAUUUCUCCUUGCUUCUGGACUAUCACUGUAAUAACUUACAAAUAGUGAACAUGUUUCUUCAUUUUACUAGUUAAACCUCUGACCAUUUCAGUCUAUUUUCUCUGCUUCUAUUAUAUGUAGUUGCAACUUUUUACCAUUUCACAAUCUCAUGAUUUAUUACUCCACCAUUUGUUGUUUUGCCCUAAAUCUAGCUUGACAUACUCUCUUCUCUACUUGUCUUCUUUUCCUUUAUACUCUUUUCUUGUUAUCAUUCAACAAUCAGACAUUCAUCUUAUCAAAAUUUUGAUUUCAACCAUGCUCACAUACCCAUCAUCUGUUCGACUUAUUCUCCAGGUUCUUAUUUUUGUCAGAUGUAAAUACCAGAAAGGGGACUUUUCUGAAAGUUGUGAUAGACAGUUAAAUGACAAAAUAAGUAUUAAUUUCUCUUAUUUUUGACAUCAACAUUCCACCAAAGGUCAAAGUACACAUCUUUUGCCACUUUCAAGGAAUUAUUGGUAUACAUCUCUCCAUGGCGUUCACAAUUUAGAUGUUUAAACUUCUAAAAAACCUGAGAUAACAACUUAUGCAAACAGGAUUUCUGACAGAAAAAUCAUGAUUACUAACCCAGUGAUGGAAUCUUCAGAACCUUGCUUGGUAAAAUAUUCCCAUAUGCAGCAGUAACACAAAGUUCAGGCUCCAGAGACUUGAAAUUCUCAAGAAAUGAUUCCUAAACAAAAUAAAGUUGAUGGUAAGUUCUCUUAUCAAGGAGGGCAUUCCUUCAGAAGUGUUAAGCUCAACAGCAUCAAUAGCAAAGGGAAAUCGGGAAAUCAACUGAAGGUCUUCAUGGCAAUGCAACAUAGAUGUUGAAUAUGCCAAAUAUAUUCAUCAAAAAGUAUGCAUCUUUUUAUCAUCUACAGUUGUAUAACAUCACAGCUCCUCAAUUGUUUUUCUAACCAGCCAGAAUUGCUAAUACCACUGUCCAAGCUACAAAAUUUUCUAACUUUCUACAUGAAAAUCUCCCAGUAACAAGUAGGUGCUUCUUGUACAAGUCAUGGAUCGCAUUAAAGUACAAAAGCAUCAAGCAUUCGCCAAUUGGUUGGUAGGCUAUCUACAUGAAACAGUACAAGCCCUGGUGCACCUGGUAACAGGCCCUGUCCAUGGAAACGAGUGACCACCCCUAAUAAACCUUUUUAGCCACCAAAAAAAAAAGGAUCUGACUGACAAAGUUCAUUGUUAAAUAUUAACCUGAGGAUGUCUGUUACUGCAAAAAGUUUUCUAUUCCCUUUCAUUCACUCAUUCGUAAAUGGGCAUUCCCCUCUGGGCAUGGUUUGAAAGAGCAGAAUGCCAUUCUAAAUUUUUGUAUGCUAGUGAAUCUAGGAUGGAGUACAAGCAGCAAUCACCAAGAAAUGGCGAUCUAUGUAUAAUAUAUUAGUUGUCAGUGUCGGGCAGCUUGAUCCAUCAGUGCUUUUAAUCGGCUUCCCAGAGCAAAAAAUCUCAAAUGUGACAGUAUACUAUCUCCUAAUACUUUGGCAGUGGCUUAAAAAUUAUGCUGCGAAGUGACCAUUCACACCCUCAAUACAGAAUCGUCAGGAAAAAAAAAGGCUGCAACCUGGAUGGUUAUCAUUUGCCCCCAAUUUACCUAUGUGCGCAAAAAAGUACAAAUGUGAUGCACUUGUUGCAAACUGCUAUAAGAUAAUUAAAUUUCUGCAUAACUGCAUUAAGAUGUUACCUCACCAGCUUUUACAGGUGUGAAUAUCAAAUCAGAGGGGAAGCCUUUGUCAAGAGCACGCUGUGCUACAGGAGAAGGCGUGAUCUUUCUUCCUCUAUCUCUCCCAGAGGGUGGCUGAGUAACAAUUGCAGCAACCUAGAGCAUUGCAAAUACCAAAAAAGAAAAAAAAGUGAAAGAAUCAAUAUUGAUUAGCGAAUUCCAAUUGCCAUGAAUGCCUCAAAGCCUAUCAGACCAUCAUUAAAAAUAUAUACACAAUGCUAACAAGAGCAAGGAAAUAUAGAAAAACUAGGAUGAGAAGUACGAAUCCUAAGGCCAGAUACAGCAGUAAAUUUCCCAUUGAUUAUAAUUAUGAACGACCCAGCAAACCAUAUUUCCACUUGACAAACUGGGAAAUUAAAUAUGAACUUCUACAAGCAGAAGCUAAAAUAAUCAGUAAAAGAACUUCAACAAAAGCAACAUCAACAAAGAAGACGAAGCUUGCUAUAUCAUCUGCUGCAUUGUGCAAAUUGUAAUUUUUCCAACUCUAUCGCUUCAAAUACUCUACUGUGAAACAACAACCAAACACUGUAAAAGAAUGAUUCAUGAUUAAGGGUCAUGGAAUAUAGCUGAUGCUACAAACCAUUAAAAUUCAUGACUGGUGAAAAAAUGUCUACAAGUCGUACCUUUACUGUAAAUGUUCAGCAGGUCACAUAAAUUUCAAGGAAAACAAGAUUACAACAAAAAAUUCUGUAUGUUUUUUGAGCAGAAUUUACUGUACAAAAUGACUUAAGCACAAGCAUUACACUACAGAAUAAUGAUAGAUAAAGCAGUAAUACCUCAAAUAGGGAAUCAGGAGCAGAAGAAGCAGAGAAUAAAGCAUCAAGAACCGAAGCAGAUACCUAGAGAACAAAUAACUAAUUUACAAAACGUAGGCAUUGUAAGUUGUAUUAACUAUAAAAGCAGGCAGCGAAGAGAAGAGAGAAGGGUAUUGAACCUGAGGGGAGCCCAAGAAGACCAGACGCCUUUUCUUGUUAAGGGAAGACAAAGGAGCAGAUGCAAAAGAAGAAGAAGCACUAGUGCUGAAGCAGCAAAAGCGUCGAAGCAUCAUCGCAGAGGAGGACCAUAUCAAUACCAUCAUCUUCUUCUUUUCCUCCUCUUUCUUGCUCUUCCAGGUUCCGACUGCCGCUGCUUGAUGUUUCUCAGAACUGGGCAAUUGGACUAAGUUCCUGGUGGGAUUUUACGGACCAUAUUGCAAAUGAGACUCAUUGGGCUUUCCACGAUUAAGCUACAAAGAAUACAACCAACAGUCCUGCACCCAAUAUCGCAAACCGGUAACCGAUGUUUCGGGGACGCAAGUAAAGUGAACCCGCCCUGGUCCCUCCCGUAACCUUUUUUUUUUUUUUUCUUGGCAGUCUUUUUUAGUUUGUAAAUUAGUUUUUUUUUGUUUUUUUUUUCAAUACAAGGUGUAUCCCAACUUUACCGACUAAUCACCCUGCACCUGAACUACCCGCCCCAGUUUGUAAAUUAGUACUCCGGCCGAACAAUUUCACAACUGAAAUUGUGACUUCGCAGGUCAUGCACAUGGUUCAAUUGAAUCGGCGGUUUGUCACCUCAAACCAUAUGGAGCGUGUUGUUUUGCUUUAUACAAGAGCUCAUAAUAUUAUCUACUGCUAACAAAAAAAACUUAUAAAUCUACCAUAAAAACUAGGGAUAAUUUAAGAAACCUCCCCUUAGAUUUUUAAUAAUUUCACUAGCCUCCCCUAUAUUUUACAAAAUCGAUGUUAAAGUUUUGAUAAUAAAAUUGGUCCAAUUAAAAAAAGUAACAUUAAAAAGUACUUUAAGUAGAGAGAUGAAACUUUUAUUCCAUUAAUACCCCUCAUGCAUGUAUAUAUGUUGUAUCAGUAAAAAAAAUGAAAAAUAAUUAAAAGUUAUAAACAAUUAAUAAACACAUUUUACUACUCAAAAAGUUCACAUUCAAUAAAUUAGAUAACACAAAUAAGCAACAAAACUACAUUAAUGAUAAUAGGAUUUAGUAAAACAGACUAGUCAUCUUUUUUGACAUAAUGUUUACUGCAAUUCUUGUGAUUUUGAAAAGAAAAAAUUUUAAAAUUUAUAUUUCUUUUCCCUCCUUUCUCCUUUACUAAUAUCUAAUGAUUAAACAAUUAGAGCACUAAUUAACAAUUAGUAACUAAUUAACGAAAAUAACUGUUAAAAUUUUUUUUAUCGAAAAUGACUUGUAAUUACAAAAUACAUCAAUUGAUAAAUCUAAUGACGCUAUUUUUGAUUGAUAAAAUUUGACAAUGAUCAAAGAUUAGUUAUACACAAUGUGAGAAGAAGGGUUUUGGUAGAAAAAAAUAUAGGUCAAAAGAAGGUUGUUCAUGAGGAUAUUUUCUUUGAAACUCUCAAAGUUAUGAUAGUUGUAAAGUAAUUUCAUGGAAGUAAUGGAAAAAAGAGGGAAAAAUACAAAAUUUAAAAAUUUUACUGUUUAAAAUCACAAGAAUCAUAACAAAAUCAUAUUAAAAAAGAUGAUUAGUCUGUUUUGCUAAAUAUUGUGAUCGUUAGUGUAGUUUCAUUGUUUAUUUGUGUUAUCUAAUUUAUUAAAUUUGAACUUUUUAAUUGGUAAAAUGUGUAUAUUAAUUAUUUCUAACUGUUAAUUAUUUUUAUUCUUUUACUGGAAUAAAAGUUUCAUCUCUAUUUUUAAAGUGCUUUUUGGACUAAUUUUGUUUUUAAAAGUUUAAAACCUUAACCUCAAGGGAGGUUUUAUAAUUUUGCAAACUUCAUGAGAGACUGGUAAAAUUGUUAGAAAUCUCAAGGGAGGUUUAUCCCUAAAAACUAACCUCGUUUGUUCCUAUACCCUGAUUCUAUACACGGCCCAUAUCGUGUGAGGAUACAAAUUUACAAAUUGCAAAGGUUAGCCGCUCGCUCUCGCACAACUGCAUUUCAAUGCUGACAGCCAGAGCGAUUCAGUUUUCUGAAGUUUCCAGUUUCUACUGUUCUUUAUCAUUAUUGUCAUUUUCAAAGCUAUCCAUCCACGUACAGAGCUUGAAUUGCUGGAAAAGAUGUACAAGGGAGAAGAGUAGUAAGAAAAAUCUAUGAGAUUUCAAUGUCAAAUGGCUUCUUUACUCUUUGCUUUGAUUUUUUCUUUCAAGCUGAACAAAAGCAUGUACGAUACUACACUCACUAUGGCUGCUCAAUUCUGUGAAGCUGUGCCUACAAAUCGCAAUCAAACUGCCGCCUUUACUGUCUCUAAUCGUCAACCAACAAAAACCAAGCCAAGACCCCACCAGCGCUACCAAGUUAGAUGACUCCCUUUUGAGU
rnacentral:lncRNA from 1 species